rnacentral:lncRNA from 1 species
GAGAGUUGGUUAAAUCUUUGUCUUGCCUGAGUAACUUGCAUAUGUAUAUUUUCUAAACUUUUGGACAUGAAUUUCAAGUAGCAAAUUCUAUUCAUCUUAAUGGAUUCUUUUCUUGGAAGAUGUCAGUGGUUCUUCAGAACAUUCCACACGAACUCUGUGUCCAAAUCAUUAACAGCAGUUUUUACUAUGGGCACAUAAGACAGAAAUAAAUCUGUUUUAAUUACCUGUUUGGAUUCUGAUACCACGGCUGUUUGCCAAACCUUACUGAUACUUCUUGUAUUACCUCUUUGAACAUAUCUGGUGUAGAAACUGGUGUAUCUCUUUUGCAAUCUCUAUAGGAUACUAUGCACGAAUCUACAGUAAUGAUAGGUACUGCGUCAUUUUUGUGGAGUCUGUCUGGUGAAGAAAGUGUCCUUGGAGCCGGUUUUAUUUUCUUUGUCACUAGAUGUCACUGCAUACACAAGUGUGCUACUGUCGCCCAGGGUAAUCUGAGCCCUGAUUGCUGGGAAAGAGGCAAAAUAGAUUCUGGAAGCCUUCACUGUGAUCCUACUUGGAAGGUAUCUGCACUUUGGAUCUCUUUGAGGCUUUCUCACAAUCUCAUUUAAUUAGGCUAAUCCUCCCUAAUACUUUGUCAUUUUACAGAUUGUGUGAAAUCUAAUUUAAAUAUGUGCAAAUCUUUUGCUAUUCAACGGGACCUUUGCAUGGUGAAGCCAAAUGUGGACCAGACAUGAGCAGAUAUUACUGGAUCUUGGACAAGUGGGUCUCUAAGGAACAUCAAAGACCCUGAGAAGCCAAAAGUUAUGAAAUGCAUCAGCAGUGGGUUGAAGACAAGACCUCUCCUUUUCCUGCUGACAUUUCUUCCAUGAGCAGUACCCAGACAGCCGACAGAAAGAGCCCAGGAGAAACUUUGAAUUCCACCAAAGGGUGUGCCGAAGGCUUAGAUGUUGAGAAGCGUGAAUUCAUCCUGCACAACAAAUAUCAUAGAGAUGGGACUGGAGCGGGGGACAAGAAGGGGGAGAAUGAACAAGAUGCAUGUUGCAAAACCCCAAGGGGUGCUAUUUGUAUGGUAGCCUGAGUGAACAGCAAUUUCCCUGAGGGGUGGUUGCAGCAGAUACUGUGGGUACCAUCUCUACAUCUCUUACUCCUUACUCGUUCCUGCCUUACUCCUUCAGGGCAGAGCAGCCCAACUUACUCUUUGCCUAAGGACAGUCUCUGGUAUCUAAGUCUAGGUUAGCCACUCAUGGCAGGCCAGAUGAAUGAUUGCUAGGAGUCUUGCAUAUACACCCGGUUUCCUUGCCACUUGGAUAGGAUAAAGGUGCUUCACCCCAUUUUCCAGCAGUCUCCAGCAAGUCUAGGUUCCACUUGCUCACAGCAGUAGCUGAUUUUGUGAAACAUCCUUUCUGGGCUGCCUUCCUUUCUCUCUCUCCCUUUCCCUCUCCCAUCUCUGAUUUUCUUCUACUUCCCCCAAUAUAUUAAUAUUAUCUCAGGGAUGGCUUUUGGGAACCCCAAUCAAAGAAAGGAGCAAACUCAAUUAAGACCCUCUGUUUUAGGUAACUUUGGGAACCUGGUGGAGCAUCCUGACAUUACAUCCUGAACCAGAGUAUGUCUCAAGAUAUUUUUGGAUCCUGCUUUUGUGGAGACAGAAUCCACAACACAGCAGAGAGUUCCUCACUCCAAGAGGUACAUUCUUCUUACUGUCUGGUUCACUCCCUAGACACAUGCCAGCUUGACCAUCAUACAGAGCAGCCCCCAGGAUGAAGGCAAACUUCUAUCUGGAGUCUGAUCUUUCCAAGAUAGGGCUGAAUCAACUUAGCUCUUUUUUCUUGUGGCUCAUUGCUGCUUUCCAGAUUGAGAAUAGCCUCAGAUUUCUUUCUGGCUUCCAUAUACCAUGCAUCCUAUUGCUUUGCUUAUACUCUUACCCCCCAAUGUCAAAAUAGUCCUGAAGUGUAUACCAGAUCAUGUCACACAUAUGCAGAACUGAUCAUGUCAGUUCAACCUUGGCUCCAAGAAUAAAGCUGUAAGUCCUAUAACCACAAGGCCUUAGGGUGACUUGAUUCCUGAAGGCUACUCCAAUAUCAUUUCUUCUCAUUUUCCUCAUCACACCUUGCCUUUCUUUGAACGUGGUGACAUAUUCCUGCUGCAGAAUUUUGCAUUGGCUGUUUCCUCUAUCUGGUGCACUCUUUUUAUUGAAGGUGCACUCUUACCUAACCUAACUCAUGCUUUUGUGCAAAUGUCACCAUCUCAGACAGGCCUUUGCUAACCAUCCCAGCACCCCUUUAAUUUAUUAUUGCUUACUUUAAUUGUUUCUCUUUAUAGCUGUCAGCACCAACUGACAUUAUAUGUACUCGUUUGGCUGGUUUUUGUUAGUCUUUCCAUGACAAUGUAAGCGCCACUGGCUCAUCACUAACAUCAUGUGCCUGGCACACAGAAAGUACUCAAUUAAUAUUUAUAUGGUUGCUGAAUUAAUAUAUGGUGUUACCUUUAAAGAGAAGCGAAGUAAUCUGUAAAUGCUUUUACUAAAAUAAUCAUUUACCUGCAGACUAGGUAUUUUAAAAUAUAGUCUAUUUCCUGUUAUAGAUUGAUUUAUUUUUAAAGUAUUGUCUCCUUACUCUUUAAAGAUACAUUUUCCCUGUUUUCCAAAUUAGUUAUUUUUUCUUUUUGAUUAUUCAUUCCCAAGUUAGGAGAAUGUCUAAAACUUGAGAUGUACUGACUGACAAAUUAACUAACAAAGAACAGAAAUAUAUACCUCAAAUUGCACUGCUAUCAUCUAUGAUCAUUUAUUUAUUCAGCAGAUAUUAAUUGAGCGUUUACUAUAUCUCAGACACCGCUGUACAUAUUCAGAGAAUACAACAGCCAAAGAUUUCUCACCUCAAAGAACUUAUACAGAAAAGACACGCAAUAAAAUGUAAACAUGAUAAAUGAAUUAUUUUAUUUUAUUUUAUUUUAUUUUUGAGACAGAGUUUUGCACUUGUUGCCCAGGCUGGAGUGCAAUGGCGUGAUCUCGGCUCACCGCAACCUCUGCCUCCCGGGUUCAAGCGAUUCUCCUGCCUCAGCCUCCCAAGUAGCUGGGAUCAUAGGCAUGCGCCACUAUGCCCAGUUAAUUUUUUGUAUUUUUAGUAGAGAUGGGGUUUCACCAUGUUGGCCAGGUUGGUCUGAAACACCCGACCUCAGGUCAUCAGCCCACCUCGGCCUCCCAAAGUGCUGGGAUUACAGGCGGGAGCCACUGCACCUGACUGAUAAAUGAAUUAUUUAAUGUGUUUGAAGGAUACACUAGGGUGGUCAGGGGAGGCUUCACUAAGUUGACUUCUGGGCAGAGCUUGAAUUAGUGAGUGUGAAUGUGAAGCCAUGUGCAUACAUGUGGGAGGAGCACUCUAGACAAAGAGCAAGGCCAAGGCAGAGGUUCUGAGGUGGGAGCAUGCCAAGCUUGUUAUAGAGGGCAAGCUGCAGGCUGCUGAGCAAGGAGGAAGAGGGGUAGGAGAUGAAACCAAAGAAGAAUCAGGAAAGCAGGCCAUGUAGGCCCCUGGAAGCAUUAAAAGGACCUUGAUUUUCACAUAUGCCAAUAAUUGUUAAAAGGCAAUAAUAAUAGCUGUUGCCACCACAUUCGACUACAUAGUAUUCCCUGCUUGUUCCAUAUAAAGUUACUCCAUGUAAAUACAGACCCUGUGAUCACUCUUGUUGAUAAUGAUUUUAUUGUAUUAUUGUUUCUCUAUAAGGUGACUGCUGUUACAUUUUUCUUAAUUACACAGCAGUGAAACACUUCAUUGAUAAUAAAUACAAAGGAGAAAAAAUAAUUUAUAAAAUAAAAAUAGAGGUUUAAUAAAU